CCUACGGGAGGCUGCAGUCGAGAAUCAUUCACAAUGGGGGAAACCCUGAUGGUGCGACGCCGCGUGGGGGAAUGAAGGUCUUCGGAUUGUAAACCCCUGUCAUGUGGGAGCAAAUUAAAAAGAUAGUACCCCAAGAGGAAGAGACGGCUAACUCUGUGCCAGCAGCCGCGGUAAUACAGAGGUCUCAAGCGUUGUUCGGAAUCACUGGGCGUAAAGCGUGCGUAGGCUGUUUCGUAAGUCGUGUGUGAAAGGCGCGGGCUCAACCCGCGGACGGCACAUGAUACUGCGAGACUAGAGUAAUGGAGGGGGAACCGGAAUUCUCGGUGUAGCAGUGAAAUGCGUAGAUAUCGAGAGGAACACUCGUGGCGAAGGCGGGUUCCUGGACAUUAACUGACGCUGAGGCACGAAGGCCAGGGGAGCGAAAGGGAUUAGAUACCCUGGUAGUC
rnacentral:rRNA from 1 species